GGCGUGGUAGCUCAGCUGGUUAGAGCGUCGGAUUCAUAACUCGGAGGCCGGGGGUUCAAUACCCCCCCACGCUA
rnacentral:tRNA from 1 species